GGGGCUUUAGCUCAGUGGUAGAGCAUGCCCUUGGCAUGCUUGAGGUCCUGGGUUCAAUCCCCAGUGCCUCUG
rnacentral:tRNA from 1 species